AGCCUCAGGUGAGACCCGCAGGUCAGGGACGCGCCAGCAGACCGAUCUGUCCCAAGGAGCGAGACUUGGCUGCACCGCUAAAGCCUGAGAAAAUGAAAACCGUAUUUGGCGAGCUUUGGAGCUUUGUCUAGCGGACCCUCAUGUCAACCAAUGGCCUGGAGUGUGGUUGGUGGCGAAGACGCUGCUCACACGCUAGAUGGGGCUGGCUCUGAAACCCAGAUUUGCCACUCAGCUCUGGGCUGAGUCAGGUACAUGGAUGGAGUUGGAGAAUAUCAUGCUAAGUGAAGUAAGACAAUCCCAAAAAACCAAAGGUCAAAUGUUCUCUGGUCAAUCCUGAGUACCAGCUUCUCUUGCCUGGACAAGCACCAUGGUGCCCAGUGCAGGUCAAGAUAGCCCAGUUGCUAUGGUGAUGCCCGGCCAGAGGAGGCACGUGGGCUGUGUGCGAAGUUGAGCAGCUGUGUCAGUCGGAACCCUGAGCUCAGUCACCAACUCCUGGGAACAGAGAAUUCUGGGCAUAACAAGGUAACUCCAAUGACUCGCCAGUCCUGUGUCCUGCAGAUGGAUCGCCUGCUCUGCUAAAACUUUCCCACAAAUAACCUUUUGGGGAAACCUAUUUAAUAAACAUGCAAGCUAGCUCUGGAUCUGUCAAACUCCACCCGAGUUUGGCUGUCCACCUGGCCCCACUUUUGUCUCUC